CAAAGUGCUGGGGUUACAGGCAUGAGCCACUGCGCCUGACCAGCCAUACCUUAAUUUAAAUUUUAUAAGGUAUUACUGAUAGAUUUUAGCAAAGGUAAACACAAAGUAAUCAAUAUUAUUUCAUCUAGCAAAGAAGAUGAAGUGAAAGUUCUGUAAGGACAUCAACCAGAACAUAAAAUUAUUGAAUACUAAUGUUCUGAUACAGUUUCAUGGUCUGUAUUGUUAAUAAGAAAUAGAAGCAGUGUUGACAUUGAGUAUAGUUACUGUGUUACUUUAAAUUUAGAUAAAAUUAUUUAACCCCAAAAUAGAGUGAAAUAAUUUUAUACAUAUUCAGUCUAAUCAUAUCUUUGCGAUGGUAUUUUCUGUUGAUCUCGUUUGUGUUUGGUCAGUGGUAGCAAGGUAUCUGAUACUUAUUGUGAUUUCCAAUAGGCACCUCCUGUCAACGUAACUUUGCUCAUGUAAGUGCCUUAAGCUCUUUGCUGGUGGUGAAUAUGAUGACUGACAUUUCUGUCAUGUAGCUUCUGGAAUGUUGUUAGACAGGAGAUCCUUCAGAUGAGUAUAUGGGUAGCAUAUAUGCUCUGGAUCCAUGUUAUUGGACAGGAGAUCCUUCACGUGAGUGUAUGGAUAGUAUAUAUGCUCUGGAUCCAUGUUAUUAGACAGGAGAUCCUUCACAUGAAUAUAUGGGUAGCAUAUAUGCUCUGGAUCCAUGUUAUUACCCUCAUCCCCUUCCCCAUGGAAAACGUUCCUUUCCAUUCCCCUUUCAUCUAAAGAAGCUGCUGCUACAUCUGGAAAGCAGAGACAAGGUUAGGGUUAGGUGAUUUCUGAGCGAGCAUUGAAGUUUCGUUGUUUCUACAACUGUUCUAUUUUGUUAACGUGAGUCAUAACUUAAAAUGAUGUAAAUGCUAAUUAAACCAAUUGGCUUGAUGAAAGAAGCUUGCAUAUUGCAAAAAGAAAGUCUUAUUAGUGGUUGUUUAGAAAUACAAAGGAAAACUGUCAUACCACAGUUUGUGCUCCAAAAUUUAUUUUGUGAGUUUCUUUGAAUAGAAUUCUUUGUGUUCCUUAACCUUUUUGCUUUUCCUAAGAUUUGCCCUCUCCAAAUUUAAAUAAUAAAUGGCAACACUUGUCAACAUUUAGGGUAAACUGAAGAAAUACCAAUAGAGGUCAGUUGUAAUACAUAUGAGUUUUUUCUUUGAAAAAUAUUAUAUACUAAUUAAGUUGGUUGGCACGUGUAGCUAUUAAAGCUUAACAGAUGAGUUUUACGACAUGUUAUCAAAAUUCGAGGUAAUUUAGAACAACUUUGUUAAGAACUUGCUUUAAUUACGGAAGACCCAAACACAAAGCCUUAUGUGCUGGGGAGGAAAGUCCUCUUUCUGCCAAGCUUCUUCACCUAUGCCAAGUACGAUGUGCAAGUGGAUGGUAAGAUAGGGCUGUUCCGAGGCCUGAGGCCCCGGCUGAAGUCCAACGCCCUCUUUACUGUGACCUGGGUAGUAUGAAGAAGGUUUUCCCUCCAGAUGAGAUCUAGCAGGUUUCCAACAAGGAUGAUAUGAAGACUUCCCUGAAGAAAGUGGUGAAGGAGACCUCCUAUGGGAUAAUGAUGCAGUGCAUGUCCCGCAUGUUGGCCCACCCACUGUGUGUCAUCUCAAUGCGCUGGAUGGUCCAGUUUGUGGGAUGGGAAACCAAGUACAGUGGUGUGCUGAGCUCCAUUGGGAAACUUUUCAAAGAGGAAGGGCUGCUGGGAUUUGUUGGAUUAAUCCCUCACCUCCUGGGUGAUGUGGUUUUCUUGUGGGGCUGUAACUUACUGGCCCACUUCAUCAGUGCCUACCUGGUGGAUGACAGCUUCCACUAGGCCCUGGCCGUCCGGAGCCACACUAAGGGCUUGAUGGGGAUUGCAGUGAGCAUGCUGACCUACCCCUUCCUGCUAGUUGACGACUUCCUGGCUGUGAACAACUGCGGCCUGCAGGCUGGGCUCCCCUGUUACUCCCUGGUGUUCAAAUCCUGGAUUCACUGCUGGAAAUACCUCAGUAUGCAGGGCCAGCUCUUCCGAGGCUCCAGCCUGCUUUUCCGCUGGGUGUCAUCAGGAUCAUGCUUCGUCCUGGAGUAACCUGAAUCAUCUAAAAAACACGGUCUCAACCUGGCCACCGUGAGUGAGGCCUGACCAUCUCGGGAUACCUGCAAGAUGACUCCAACCCAACAACAAU